rnacentral:lncRNA from 1 species
GCCCAUACGGUCAUCAGCUCCAGGUUCUGCUCCACCUGCUGAACCACCGACUCCAGGUCGUGGUAGUCGCUUUCCUCCUUGAUCAUUUUUGCUUCUAAUUUCCGCUCAAGUGUCCUCAACAUUUCUGUUUGAGCUUCAGAGAAGCUCUGAACCUCAUUCAGCUUUCUUCUCAGCUUAGAAUUUUCAUCUUUUACUGCUUCGUAACUUAUCUGCAGUGUCCGCAGGUGCCUGUCUCCCAGAGACUCUCCAUGAGCCGCAAAGUCUGCGCUAGGACUCCCUGCCGGAGAGGCCGGAGACACGCGAGAAUCAGUGUCACUCAACGCCCACGAGGGCAGAGACUCACGCCCUGCCAGCUCCGACGGGGUGGAGAAAAAAGAAAGGCCGAGGUUCUUGGUCUUCAGAAACUCUUUAAAGGAGAAUGGAUUUGCUUCUUCAAGAUCUUCAAAUCUGUCAUCUCCGUCGGGAAUGGCGAGGCUCCGGGCUCGGGACAGCGGGGUGGCGCCCGGGCGGCGCGGGUAGCCCGACAUCGCCGCCGGCCCGGCUGGGCAGGACCUGCCUAGCCAGGCAGCGGCGGCUCCAUGGCCCCGGCUCCGCCCGUGCCGCGGCCCGUGUCGCCCGCCCGCGUCGCCCGCCGCUGGGCCGCUCCCGCUCC